rnacentral:rRNA from 1 species
AGCGAACGCUGGCGGCAGGCUUAACACAUGCAAGUCGAACGCGCUCUUCGGAGCGAGUGGCAGACGGGUGAGUAACGCGUGGGAACGUGCCCUCCGGUUCGGGAUAACCCAGGGAAACUUGGGCUAAUACCGGAUACGUGCUUAUGGCAGAAAGGUUUACUGCCGGAGGAUCGGCCCGCGUCUGAUUAGCUAGUUGGUGGGGUAACGGCCUACCAAGGCUGCGAUAAGUAGCUGGUCUGAGAGGAGAAUCAGCCACACUGGGACUGUGACACGGCCCAGACUCCUACGGGAGGAAGCAGUGGGGAAUAUUGGACAAUGGGCGCAAGCCUGAUCCAGCCAUGCCGCGUGAGUGAUGAAGGCCUUAGGGUUGUAAAGCUCUUUUACCCGGGACGAUAAUGACGGUACCGGGAGAAUAAGCUCCGGCUAACUCCGUGCCAGCCGCCGCGGUAA